rnacentral:lncRNA from 1 species
ACUUUCUAGAUUAAAACUGCAUUUGGCAUAAUACUCUAUAACUAAUUUAUCAAUAAAAAUGCCAUUUUGUACUGGAAGCUUUUUCGCCGUCAAUAUCAGGUGGUAUUAAAAAAUAAUUAACAAUGUCAUAGUCAGAUAUAAUUAAAACAAACAUGAUGAAGCCAGUAAAUCUGGUUGUGACCUACCCGUGUGUUACUUUUGUUUCUGAUGGGGCCAAAAAUUAUAAUGUGCCAUUUAUGUUUAAAGUAAAAUUAUUCUAUAUAUAUAUUUUUUAAUUUGAUAUAUUUUCAAUUAAAUUCAAUAUAUUUCUGUCUAAGGCAUAUUUUUAAAAUAUAGACAUGAAAUUGAGAUGAUUUUUGUAUUUUUGUUUACAAAUAAACUUUCUGAAGUCUGCUAGUAAACUUUUAAUUAUUACUUACUAUUAAUAAUGCAUAGUCAUCAUACAUCUCUAAAUCUUUAUUUCUUCAGUUUUACAUUUAGAAAGACAAAUCAAAGUUU